AGACGAACCGGGCGAACGUUAUUCGGAAUCACUGGGCCUAAAGCGUGCGUAGGCGGCUUGGCAAGUUGGGUGUGAAAGCCCUCGGCUCAACCGAGGAACUGCGCCCAAAACUGCCAGGCUUGAGGGAGAUAGAGGUGAGUGGAACUAAUGGUGGAGCGGUGAAAUGCUUUGAUAUCAUUAGGAACACCGGUGGCGAAAGCGGCUCACUGGGUCUCUUCUGACGCUGAGGCACGAAAGCUAGGGGAGCGAACGGGAUUAGAAACCCCAGUAGUCC
rnacentral:rRNA from 1 species